rnacentral:rRNA from 1 species
GACGAACGCUGGCGGCAUACCUAAUACAUGCAAGUCGAGCGGAGCGUUUUUGAAAGCUUGCUUUCAAAAACGUUUAGCGGCGGACGGGUGAGUAACACGUAGGCAACCUGCCUUUCAGUUUGGGAUAACUUCCGGAAACGGAUGCUAAUACCGAAUACAUCAUCUUCUGGCAUCAGAGAAUGAGGAAAGACGGCGCAAGCUGUCACUGAGAGAUGGGCCUGCGGCGCAUUAGCUAGUUGGUGGGGUAAUGGCUCACCAAGGCGCCGAUGCGUAGCCGACCUGGGAGGGUGAACGGCCACACUGGGACUGAGAGACGGCCCAGACUCAUACGGGAGGCAGCAGUAGGGAAUCUUCCACAAUGGGCGAAAGCCUGAUGGAGCAAUGCUGCGUGAGUGAUGAAGGUUUUCGGAUCGUAAAGCUCUGUUGCCAGGGAAGAACGUCCGGGUGAGUAACUGCACCCGGAGUGACGGUACCUGAGAAGAAAGCCCCGGCUAACUACGUGCCAGCAGCCGCAGUAA